rnacentral:rRNA from 1 species
AACGAACGCUGGCGGCAUGCCUGACACAUGCAAGUCGAACGAGACCCUCGGGUCUAGUGGCGCACGGGUGCGUAACGCGUGGGAACCUGCCCUUAGGUUCGGAAUAACUCCCCGAAAGGGGUGCUAAUACCGGAUAAUGUCUUCGGACCAAAGAUUUAUCGCCUUUGGAUGGGCCCGCGUUGGAUUAGCUAGUUGGUAGGGUAAAAGCCUACCAAGGCGACGAUCCAUAGCUGGUCUGAGAGGAUGAUCAGCCACACUGGGACUGAGACACGGCCCAGACUCCUACGGGAGGCAGCAGUGGGGAAUAUUGGACAAUGGGCGAAAGCCUGAUCCAGCAAUGCCGCGUGAGUGAUGAAGGCCUUAGGGUUGUAAAGCUCUUUUACCCGGGAUGAUAAUGACAGUACCGGGAGAAUAAGCUCCGGCUAACUCCGUG